UCCGGUUUGUCACCGGCAGUCUCCUUAGAGUUCCCACCAUAACGUGCUGGCAACUAAGGACAAGGGUUGCGCUCGUUGCGGGACUUAACCCAACAUCUCACGACACGAGCUGACGACAACCAUGCACCACCUGUCACUCUGUCCCCCGAAGGGGAACGUCCUAUCUCUAGGAUUGUCAGAGGAUGUCAAGACCAGGUAAGGUUCUUCGCGUUGCAUCGAAUUAAACCACAUGCUCCACCGCUUGUGCGGGCCCCCGUCAAUUCCUUUGAGUUUUAGCCUUGCGGCCGUACUCCCCAGGCGGGGUGCUUAAUGCGUUAGCGCCGGCACGGGAGGAGUCGACACCUCCCACACCUAGUGCCCAUCGUUUACGGCGUGGACUAC
rnacentral:misc_RNA from 1 species